GAUGAACGCUGGCGGCGUGCCUAAUACAUGCAAGUCGAGCGAACAGACGAGGAGCUUGCUCCUCUGACGUUAGCGGCGGACGUGUGAGUAACACGUGGAUAACCUACCUAUAAGACUGGGAUAACUUCGGGAAACCGGAGCUAAUACCGGAUAAUAUAUUGAACCGCAUGGUUUAAUAGUGAAAGACGGUUUUGCUGUCACUUAUAGAUGGAUCCGCGCCGCAUUAGCUAGUUGGUAAGGUAACGGCUUACCAAGGCAACGAUGCGUAGCCGACCUGAGAGGGUGAUCGGCCACACUGGAACUGAGACACGGUCCAGACUCCUACGGGAGGCAGCAGUAGGGAAUCUUCCGCAAUGGGCGAAAGCCUGACGGAGCAACGCCGCGUGAGUGAUGAAGGUCUUCGGAUCGUAAAACUCUGUUAUUAGGGAAGAACAAAUGUGUAAGUAACUAUGCACGUCUUGACGGUACCUAAUCAGAAAGCCACGGCUAACUACGUG
rnacentral:rRNA from 1 species